rnacentral:rRNA from 1 species
ACACAUGCAAGUCGAGGGGCAGCAUCAUCAAAGCUUGCUUUGAUGGAUGGCGACCGGCGCACGGGUGAGUAACACGUAUCCAACCUGCCGACAACACUGGGAUAGCCUUUCGAAAGAAAGAUUAAUACCGGAUGGCAUAGUUUUCCCGCAUGGGAUAAUUAUUAAAGAAUUUCGGUUGUCGAUGGGGAUGCGUUCCAUUAGGCAGUUGGCGGGGUAACGGCCCACCAAACCAACGAUGGAUAGGGGUUCUGAGAGGAAGGUCCCCCACAUUGGAACUGAGACACGGUCCAAACUCCUACGGGAGGCAGCAGUGAGGAAUAUUGGUCAAUGGACGAGAGUCUGAACCAGCCAAGUAGCGUGAAGGAUGACUGCCCUAUGGGUUGUAAACUUCUUUUAUACGGGAAUAAAGUUAGCCACGUGUGGCUUUUUGUAUGUACCGUAUGAAUAAGGAUCGGCUAACUCCGUGCCAGCAGCCGCGGUAAUACGGAGGAUCCGAGCGUUAUCCGGAUUUAUUGGGUUUAAAGGGAGCGUA